rnacentral:rRNA from 1 species
CUCCGUAGGUGAAUCUGCGGANNNAUCAUUACACAAAUAUGAAGGCGGGCUGGAACCUCUCGGGGUUACAGCCUUGCUGAAUUAUUCACCCUUGUCUUUUGCGUACUUCUUGUUUCCUUGGUGGGUUCGCCCACCACUAGGACAAACAUAAACCUUUUGUAAUUGCAAUCAGCGUCAGUAACAAAUUAAUAAUUACAACUUUCAACAACGGAUCUCUUGGUUCUGGCAUCGAUGAAGAGCGCAGCGAAAUGCGAUAAGUAGUGUGAAUUGCAGAAUUCAGUGAAUCAUCGAAUCUUUGAACGCACAUUGCGCCCUUUGGUAUUCCAAAGGGCAUGCCUGUUCGAGCGUCAUUUGUACCCUCAAGCUUUGCUUGGUGUUGGGCGUCUUGUCUCUAGCUUUGCUGGAGACUCGCCUUAAAGUAAUUGGCAGCCGGCCUACUGGUUUCGGAGCGCAGCACAAGUCGCACUCUCUAUCAGCAAAGGUCUAGCAUCCAUUAAGCCUUUUUUUCAACUUUUGACCUCGGAUCAGGUAGGGAUACCCGCUGAACUUAAGCAUAUC